rnacentral:rRNA from 1 species
GGCACGCCUAACACAUGCAAGUCGAGCGCGCCCUUCGGGGUGAGCGGCGGACGGGUUAGUAACGCGUGGGAAUCUGCCUAGUAGUGGGGGAUAACAAUCGGAAACGGUUGCUAAUACCGCAUACGCCCUACGGGGGAAAGGCUUCGGCCGCUAUUAGAUGAGCCCGCGUAAGAUUAGCUUGUUGGUAGGGUAAUGGCCUACCAAGGCAACGAUCUUUAGCUGGUCUGAGAGGACGAUCAGCCACACUGGGACUGAGACACGGCCCAAACUCC